rnacentral:rRNA from 1 species
CGUAACAAGGUUUCCGUAGGUGAACCUGCGGAAGGAUCAUUGUCGAAACCUGCACCUUGCAGAAGAAUGCAAUUGCCUUCUUUCAAGAAUCAAAAUGACUCUCGGCAACGGAUAUUUGGGUUCUGGCAUCGAUGAAGAACGCAGCAAAAUGCGAUACUUGGUGUGAAUGGCAGAAUCCCGUGAAUCAUCGAGUUUUGGAACGCAAGUUGCGCCCGAAGCCUUUCGGCCAAGGGCACGCCUGCCUGGGUGUCACGCAUAUGUCGCCCCAUCCUCUCGACACCUCGGGAGUCAUGGGAGCAGAAGUUGGCCUCCUGUGUGCCUUGCGCAUGUGGUUGGCCCAAAAUGCAUGUUCGCGGCAAAUGAUAGCCAUGGCGAUGGGUGGUUGUAAAGACCCUCUGAAAAAGUCGUGCGCUGUUCUUAGCCGUCGGGACAUUCCUUGACCCUAGGGCGUCCUCAGGGCGCGCUCCGACCGCGACCCCAGGUCAGGCGGGACUACCCCCUGAG